rnacentral:rRNA from 1 species
GAUAAACGCUGACAGAAUGCUUAACACAUGCAAGUCGAUGACUAAGUAUAGCUUGCUAUACGAGGUCAUGGCGGACGGGUGAGUAACGUGUAAAGAACUUACCUUAUAGACUGGGAUAACAGAUAGAAAUGUCUGAUAAUACUAGAUACUAUUACACUGUGGCAUCACAGAGUAAUGAAAGAAUACGCUAUAAGAGAGCUUUGCAUCCUAUUAGCUAGUUGGUAAGGUAAAGGCUUACCAAGGCGAUGAUAGGUAGCCGGCCUGAGAGGGUGGACGGCCACAAGGGGACUGAGAUACGGCCCUUACUCCUACGGGAGGCAGCAGUGGGGAAUAUUGGACAAUGGAGGAAACUCUGAUCCAGCAAUUCUGUGUGUGUGAAGAAGGUCUUCGGAUUGUAAAACACUUUUAGUUGGGAAGAAACAAAUGACGGUACCAACAGAAGAAGCGACGGCUAAAUACGUGCCAGCAGCCGCGGUAAUACGUAUGUCGCAAGCGUUAUCCGGAAUUAUUGGGCUUAAAGGGCAUCUAGGCGGUAUAACAAGUUGAAGGUGAAAAGCUGUAGCUCAACUAUAGUCUUGCCUACAAAACUGUAAUACUAGAGUACUGGAAAGGUGGGUGGAACUACACGAGUAGAGGUGAAAUUCGUAGAUAUGUGUAGGAAUGCCGAUGAUGAAGAUAACUCACUGGACAGAAACUGACGCUGAAGUGCGAAAGCUAGGGGAGCAAACAGGAUUAGAUACCCUGGUAGUCCUAGCUGUAAACGAUGAUUACUGGGUGUGGGGAUGAGAAGUCUCUGUGCCGAAGCAAAAGCGAUAAGUAAUCCGCCUGGGGAGUACGUUCGCAAGAAUGAAACUCAAAGGAAUUGACGGGGGCCCGCACAAGUGGUGGAGCAUGUGGUUUAAUUCGACGCAACGCGAGGAACCUUACCAGACCUUGACAUCGCCGGGAGGUCAUAGAAGUAUGA